rnacentral:rRNA from 1 species
GAUGAACGCUAGCGGCAGGCCUAAUACAUGCAAGUCAAGGGGAUCGCAAGAUCACCGGCGGACGGGUGCGUAACGCGUACACAACGUACCCUUGAGCGGGGGAUAGCAUUGGGAAACUGGUGGUAAAACCCCAUGGUGUUGGAAUGUGGCAUCACAAACCAACUAAAGGAUACACUCAAGGAUCGGUGUGCGUCUGAUUAGCUAGUUGGCGGGGUAACGGCCCACCAAGGCGACGAUCAGUAGGGGGUGUGAGAGCAUGGCCCCCCACAUGGGUACUGAGACACGGACCCAACUCCUACGGGAGGCAGCAGUAAGGAAUAUUGGACAAUGGUCGGAAGACUGAUCCAGCCAUGCCGCGUGAAGGACGAAGGCGCUCAGCGUUGUAAACUUCUUUUGGACGGGGAUAAUACUGUCGAUUUAUCGGCAAUUGAAGGUACCGUCAGAAUAAGCACCGGCUAACUCCGUG